ensembl:misc_RNA Vault Vault RNA
GGGCUGGCUGUAGCUCAGCGCUCCUUCCCCAGGGCACUGUCCCCUUCCAUCCUCUGCGGUUGGCAGAGCCGACUGCAGACCUGUGGGUGCUCCCCAGUCCUUUA